UCUCGCGUCAGGAUAUGCCUAGGUGGGAUUAGCUAGUUGGUGAGGUAAGGGCUCACCAAGGCGACGAUCCCUAGCUGGUCUGAGAGGAUGAUCAGCCACACUGGAACUGAGACACGGUCCAGACUCCUACGGGAGGCAGCAGUGGGGAAUAUUGCACAAUGGGCGCAAGCCUGAUGCAGCCAUGCCGCGUGUAUGAAGAAGGCCUUCGGGUUGUAAAGCACUUUCAGUCGUGAGGAAGGUGGUAUNGUUAAUAGCGGCAUUAUUUGACGUUAGCGACAGAAGAAGCACCGGCUAACUCCGUGCCAGCAGCCGCGGUAAUACGGAGGGUGCGAGCGUUAAUCGGAAUUACUGGGCGUAAAGCGCAUGCAGGUGGUUUGUUAAGUCAGAUGUGAAAGCCCGGGGCUCAACCUCGGAAUAGCAUUUGAAACUGGCAGACUAGAGUACUGUAGAGGGGGGUAGAAUUUCA
rnacentral:rRNA from 1 species